AUUUGUUGACAUAACCCAAAACUGCCAAGGACUGCUGAUAACCACCACAAAGAGGGAAGAACCAGAUUCUGGACCAGAUUCCCUGAACCCAACAGAAGGAUGCCUGGGUUUGGACCUCCAGGACUCUGAGAGGGGGGUGAGGUGACGAGACCAGGCUGUAUUUGAAUACUCUAAUGAUCUUGAGAGCCCUAGAUGAUCAAAAGUGGCAGUAUCAGACAUCUGCUGUUAUCUAGCAACACCAACAUCUGCUACAGAGCUGGAAAAGGCAACCCAUUGCUUCAGAUUCCAAAAGAGUCUCAGCAGCAUCCUAGCUCAGCAGGAAUCACAGGAAACACAGCAUCUUCCUACCCUACCUGCCUGCUUGCAAAAGAUAUCUGGGCUGCUGAGACACCCACAUGCUGUGUCUGGGUUGGCAUGGUCUCAGGGUUUCUCUUCCUUAAGUAGGAAGACUAUCCAACGGCAAGAAAGCACCAACAUGUUCUUGGUAACUAACUUUUGGUGUUAUACCCAAAGUAGUUAACUGAGCGAAUGAGUGAAUGGACACACACUCCCCUGAAAGGGCUUAUGGGCAUACUAAACUAUUAUUAGUACAGAGUGUACGGUGUCCAUGUAAAUAUACAUUUCUUCUG